CGUGUAGGCGGCUUGGUAAGUCAGAUGUGAAAGCCCUGGGCUCAACCCAGGAAGUGCAUUUGAAACUACCAGACUUGAGUACGGGAGAGGAGGGGGGAAUUCCCGGUGUAGAGGUGAAAUUCGUAGAUAUCGGGAGGAAUACCGGUGGCGAAGGCGCCCCUCUGGACCGAUACUGACGCUGAGACGCGAAAGCGUGGGGAGCAACCA
rnacentral:rRNA from 1 species